UCAGCUCUAUUGUCGCAGUUAUUUUAUGCCCUUGCCAUUGGGUCCAGGGUACCCUGCUGCAUGUAGCUGUACAGCUUUUAUUUUGUUCAUAGUUAACAGAAACUCAUUGCUGUAUUGGUGAGGUGCUGGCGGCUCCAAGUCUAACUCCUGUCUCUGCUCUGCAGGUGCAACCUCUCUAGGUAACUCUUUUUCUGAAGGCAGCUCCCUGACUCGCCUGCGAGGGCUGGGGUCUCCCUGAGGUUCAGAGGUUCAACCAUCAUCACCACUAAGGCAUCUAGAACAGGAUCAAACACCACCACCAGCAGCCCUGUGGAAUCUAAAGCAGGUAAUACAAACCACUCCCCACUGUGUAAACCACACUGUUGCUCGGGCUGUGUUGCUUUUUGAGCCUGGUAGCUGCUCUUCGGUUCCGCUGUCUCCCGCAGACGCGAGUGACAUGGGCUGGAUCAGCCUGUUGGUUUGAGAGCUCUUCCCAACAGAGCUUGCUCUCUGCUCCCCUGGGUUUGAACCCCCUCCUCUCUGUGUCCUCAGAUGCGUGUCUGGCUCUUCUGGUUACUGGAGCUGUCCUGAUAAUGGCAGCAGCGGCAGUAGCAGUGGCGGCAGUCUACAUUCUAAAGAAGCAUCUUCCGCAGACUCU